rnacentral:rRNA from 1 species
GUUGAACGCUGGCGGCGUGCUUAACACAUGCAAGUCGAACGAGAAGUGAAGACGUACUCCUUCAGUCGGCAGGCUUCAUUUCGAGUGUCGGACGGGUGCUUACCGCUUGGGUAACCUGCCUCAUACAGGGGGACAACAGUUGGACACGACUCUUAAUACCGCAUAAGACCACACCACCGCAUUGUGCGGGGGAAAAAACUCCGGUGGUAUGGGAGGGACCCGUGUUCGAUUGGCCAGUUGGCGGGGUAAACGCCCACCAAACGGACGAUCUGUACCCGGAAGGAGAGGAAGGCCCGACACCUUGGGGCUGGGACACGGGCCGAAAUACUACGGGAGGCAGCAGUGGGGAAUAUUGCACAAUGGGGGAAACCCUGAUGCAGCGACGCCGCGUGAGUGAAGAAGUAUUUCGGUAUGUAAAGCUAUAUCAGCAGGGAAGAAAAUGACGGUACCUGAGUAAGAAGCCCCGGCUAACUACGUG